rnacentral:rRNA from 1 species
UACAGAGGUGGCAAGCGUUGUUCGGAAUUACUGGGCGUAAAGGGCGCGUAGGCGGCUUGACAAGUCCCGCGUGAAAGCCCCCGGCUCAACUGGGGAACUGCGCGGGAAACUGUCGGACUUGAGUUCGGGAGAGGGAAGCGGAAUUCCGGGUGUAGCGGUGAAAUGCGUAGAUAUCCGGAGGAACACCGGUGGCGAAGGCGGCUUCCUGGACCGACACUGACGCUGAGGCGCGAAAGCUAGGGGAGCAAACGGG